AUUGAACGCUGGCGGCAUGCUUUACACAUGCAAGUCGAACGGCAGUGCGGGCUUCGGCCUGGCGGCGAGUGGCGAACGGGUGAGUAAUGCAUCGGAACGUGCCCAGUAGUGGGGGAUAGCGCGGCGAAAGCCGGAUUAAUACCGCAUACGACCUGAGGGUGAAAGCGGGGGACCGAAAGGCCUCGCGCUAUUGGAGCGGCCGAUGUCGGAUUAGCUAGUUGGUGGGGUAAAGGCUUACCAAGGCGACGAUCCGUAGCUGGUCUGAGAGGACGACCAGCCACACUGGAACUGAGACACGGCCCAGACUCCUACGGGAGGCAGCAGUGGGGAAUAUUGGACAAUGGGGGCAACCCUGAUCCAGCCAUGCCGCGUGCGGGAAGAAGGCCUUCGGGUUGUAAACCGCUUUUGUUCGGGAAGAAAUCCUCUGGGCUAAUACCCCGGGGGGAUGACGGUACCGGAAGAAUAAGCACCGGCUAACUACGUG
rnacentral:rRNA from 1 species